GUGCCAGCAGCCGCGGUAAGACGGAGGGUGCUAGCGUUGUUCGGAAUUACUGGGCGUAAAGGGCGCGUAGGCGGCCGGAGAAGUCGGAUGUGAAAGCCCGGGGCUCAACCUCGGAACUGCAUUCGAAACUUUUCGGCUAGAGAACGGAAGAGGAGAGUGGAAUACCCAGUGUAGAGGUGAAAUUCGUAGAUAUUGGGUGGAACACCGGUGGCGAAAGCGGCUCUCUGGUCCGGAUCUGACGCUGAGGCGCGAAAGCGUGGGGAGCAAACAGGAUUAGAUACCCUGGUAGUCCACGCCCUAAACGAUGUGCGCUAGAUGUCGGGGGACUUGUCCUUCGGUGUCGGAGCUAACGUGUUAAGCGCACCGCCUGGGGAGUACGGCCGCAAGGUUAAA
rnacentral:rRNA from 1 species